AUGACGCCUUUAGUAUAAACCAUGGAAGCCAGAUUUCAUAUGACAUCGCUUCGGCCGACUUUGGCAUUGUAUUUUUUUCAAAAUCACACUACUCUAAAAUCACAGGAUUAUAAUGAUGAUUUUAAUCAACCACCAGAUACACUUGUAUCUGAGAGGAAAUUUUUUCAGUCGGCAAUUAUUUUUUAUCUACAAAAUCAGAACUUAAACUUUGUUGUUGCUUCAAUAAAAACUUGCACAUUCAGUUUUAAUUCGCGAAAGAUGGGUUUCAUCUCUCAAUUCUAUUUCUAAAAGUGAACAAAUAUUCAGUGUUAAUGAGCGUGAUAUAUCACAGAAAUUGCCAUUGCUUUGCUUGGCAAAUGAUUUGGACAAACAUAAAGUAAAAAUGAACAAUGUGCAAGUUUCUCCUACCGGCAUUCACCCCAUUGAUAUCCUCUGUGAGAAUGAGAUCAGGCGAUGCAUCAAAAUCACUAUGCCCAAUCACCGAGAACAAAAUCUCUUCC